rnacentral:rRNA from 1 species
UGAUACGUAGGGGACAAGCGUUGUCCGGAAUUAUUGGGCGUAAAGAGCGUGUAGGCGGCCAAGUAAGUCUUACGUGAAAUCCUGAGGCUCAACCUCAGGCCUGCGCGGGAUACUGCUUGGCUAGAGUCCGGAAGAGGAGAGUGGAAUUCCUGGUGUAGCGGUGGAAUGCGCAGAUAUCAGGAGGAACAUCCGUGGCGAAGGCGGCUCUCUGGGACGGUACUGACGCU